UGAGGAAUAUUGCACAAUGGGCGCAAGCCUGAUGCAGCAACGCCGCGUGAGGGACGAAGGCCUUCGGGUCGUAAACCUCUUUUCUGAGGGAAGAGAUAAGGACGGUACCUCAGGAAUAAGUCUCGGCUAACUACGUGCCAGCAGCCGCGGUAAAACGUAGGAGGCGAGCGUUAUCCGGAAUUACUGGGCGUAAAGCGCGCGCAGGCGGCUCUGUAAGUUGGACGUGAAAGCUCCUGGCUUAACUGGGAGAGGUCGUUCGAAACUGCAGGGCUUGAGUCUGGGAGAGGGGUGUGGAAUUCCCGGUGUAGUGGUGGAAUGCGUAGAUAUCGGGAGGAACACCAGUGGCGGAAGCGGCACCCUGGUCCAGAACUGACGCUGAGGUGCGAAAGCGUGGGGAGCAAACAGG
rnacentral:rRNA from 1 species